rnacentral:rRNA from 1 species
UGAACGCUAGCGGCAGGCCUAAUACAUGCAAGUCGAACGGUAAGGUCCCGCUUGCGGGAUACACGAGUGGCGCACGGGUGAGUAACGCGUAUGCAACCUACCUUCAUCUGGAGAAUAGCCCCGAGAAAUCGGGAUUAAUACUUCAUAAUAAUAUAAAACGACAUCGUUUAAUAUUUAAAGCUCCGGCGGUUGAAGAUGGGCAUGCGUGACAUUAGAUAGUUGGUGAGGUAACGGCUCACCAAGUCAGCGAUGUCUAGGGGUUCUGAGAGGAUUAUCCCCCACACUGGUACUGAGACACGGACCAGACUCCUACGGGAGGCAGCAGUAAGGAAUAUUGGUCAAUGGACGAAAGUCUGAACCAGCCAUGCCGCGUGCAGGAUGACAGCCCUAUGGGUCGUAAACUGCUUUUAUAAGAGAAGAAACCUUUCUACGUGUAGAGAGCUGACGGUAUCUUAUGAAUAAGGACCGGCUAACUCC